UACGAAGGGGGCUAGCGUUGCUCGGAAUCACUGGGCGUAAAGCGCACGUAGGCGGAUUCUUAAGUCAGGGGUGAAAUCCUGGGGCUCAACUCCAGAACUGCCUUUGAUACUGGGAAUCUCGAGUCCGGGAGAGGUGAGUGGAACUGCGAGUGUAGAGGUGAAAUUCGUAGAUAUUCGCAAGAACACCAGUGGCAAAGGCGGCUCACUGGCCCGGUACUGACGCUGAGGUGCGAAAGCGUGGGGAGCAAACAGG
rnacentral:rRNA from 1 species